UACGUAGGGAGCAAGCGUUGUCCGGAAUCAUUGGGCGUAAAGCGCGCGUAGGCGGCCUCAUAAGUCUGCUGUGAAAGUUCAGGGCUCAACCCUGAAAUGCCGGUGGAAACUGUCGAGCUAGAGUCCGGAAGAGGCGAGUGGAAUUCCUGGUGUAGCGGUGAAAUGCGCAGAUAUCAGGAGGAACACCAAUGGCGAAGGCAGCUCGCUGGGACGGUACUGACGCUGAGACGCGAAAGCGUGGGGAGCAAACAGG
rnacentral:rRNA from 1 species